rnacentral:tRNA from 1 species
GGGUUAGUGGUCUAGUGGUAUGAUUCUCGCUUUGGGUGCGACAGGUCCAGGGUUUGAUUCCCUGCUAACCCC